GACGUCAACAAAAUCAAACCUUUGAUUGACUUCCACUGUUAUUGGAUCAGUCUUCUUUCAUCCUCCGACAAGUGAACAUCGAAGCUCUCUCCUUCUAACUAUGUCAACUUUAAAAUUUGCACUUUUGGUUAAAUUUUAAACUGGCGGUCGUUGCUACAUGUGACGUCAUGGAAAUCAAACCUUUGAUUGACUUCCACUGUUAUUGGAUCAGUCUUCCUUCAUCCUCCGACAAGUAAACAUCGAAGUUCUCUCCUUCUAACUGUGUCAACUUUAAAAUUUACACUUUUGGUUAAAUUUUAAACUGGCGGUCGUUGGCUACAUGUAACGUCAUCAAAAUCAAAUCCUUGAUUGACUUUCAUUGUUACUGGAUCACUUUUCCUUCAUUCUCCGACGAGUAAACAUCGAUGGUCCUUGAGGAUAUCUUUCUUACAAGUAUCAACAAAGAAAUAAAGUAAGUAUAUUUCUAUAUCACAUAUUUCUUGAAUAAUUUAUACAGUUUUUAUUAUAACAGUGAUACUGAUUGUUUUGUUUGUAUUUUUUUGUGCGCUGAAUACAAAAAACUAAUAUUUAAACAAUAAUAAAUUUGUUUAACAUUACAAAGAUCGUAGCACGAGAGAAACUUAAAAUAAUUGUAAUUAAAAAUCUUAAUAUUUCAAAGUUCUAACCUCGGAAUCAUCGGCCUUGUAUAAUAUAAACAUAUACGACUUUUAUUUACUUUGUCUUUUGUCGAGUUAGUUUCCUUUUGUACGCCGACGAGUGAGUAUCGCGGAUCUCUUUCCGAACGCGAAAUGUUAGAAAUUAAUACUUUCGAUAAUUUCGCAAUUAUUUAAACAAUUGUUAAUGUACGCUAAAUAAAAAAAACUAAUAUUUAAACAAUAAUAAAUUUGUUUAACAUUACAAAGAUCGUAACGCGAGAGAAACUUAAAAUAAUUGUAAUUAUAAAUCUUAAUAUUUAAAAUUUCUAACCUCGGAAUCGUCGGCCGUGUGUGAUAUAACAUAUACGUCUUUUGUUUACUUUGACUUUUGUCGAGUUAGUCUCCUUUCGUACUCCGAGGAGGGAGGAUCGCAGCUCUCUCUUUCCGAACGCGAAAUCUUAGAAAUUAAUACUUUCGAUAAUUUCACAAUUAUUUAAACAAUUGUUAAUGUGUGCGGAAUACAAAAAACAAAUAUUUAAACAAUAAUAAAUUUGUUAAACAUUACAAAGAUCGUAACGCGAGAGAAACUUAAAAUAAUUGUAAUUAAAAGUUUUAAUAUUUAAAAGUUCUAACCUCGGAAUCAUCGGCCUUGUGUAAUAUAAACAUAUACGACUUUUAUUUACUUUGUCUUUUGUCGAGUUAGUUUCCUUUUGUACGCCGACAAGAGCACAUCGCAGAUUUCGCAGUUCGCAUUCUCCGCAAGUAAUAACGAAUUAAGUAUAUUAUUAUAUCACUCAUUCUUUCAAUAUUCUAUGCGAAUUGUUUCAUUUUAGAAUUAAAUGGUGAAGUGGGGAUACUCUCCCACCCAUAGCGACAAUAUAAUCGGACCGGUUCACAGGUUAUGGUUCAGUAUUGCUUUGAUUUUCGACGAGUACACAUUGGAGUUCUCGUAGUACGUGUCCUUUGCAAGUAAUAGAGAAGAGUUAAUAAUUAAAUGGUGAAGUGGGGAUACUCUCCCACCCGUAGCGACAAUAUAAUCGGACCGGUUCACAGGUUAUAGUUCAGUAUUGCUUUGAAUUUCGACGAGUACACAUCGGAAUUCUCGUAGAUGAAAUGGUGUGGUGGGGAUACUUUCCCACCCGUGACGACACAAACUCGGACCUUCAGUCGACUUUGCCAGUUACUAGUUCAGUUUCGUUGUGUCUUCCGACGAGUGAACUUAGAAAUUUUCUCACUUUCGGAGGAAGACUUUGAUAAUCUAUCUGCACGAGUGGACUUAGAAAUUUUCGGAGGAUGUCAAUGGAGCGAGUAUUAACGAAGACUUAAAAACCACAUUGUGCAGAUGUAAUCGAGUGUUAGUAUCACUAAAAUAAAUUUAUCGCGAAGUAGAAGCAGUGUUUGUUCGUUCGCGUUUCGCGAUUUAAACCAUAAGUGUUUUUGAAUAGACUGCGUGCAAUGCAGUCCUUAGAGUCAGUGUUUGUUCGUAAAGUUAUUUGCUCUUUUAACAGUCGCACAGACUGUACUUAUAAAAGAUAGUAGAGUUUCGCGAAAUAAAUUCAGUGAUCGUUCGUUAAUAAAUAACUACCGCGAAUUAGAGUCAGUGCAUCACUGAAGAGGAUCUCGACCAACUUCGAUGUCGACCUACCUCAUUUUCAACCAACUACAAAUCAUCCACCCUCAAUUUCGACCUAAAUCGCGGUCCAGUGUUUUGGAGCCAUCGCAGAACUUCUUAAGUAGUAAGUUAAUUUUUAAAUCCCUCCGAUCACUCGAUCAUGUCGAGGACGAAAGGUCCGAAUCGGCACGAGUGAUUGGUUGUAAUUAAUUAGUAGAAGAGCAUUGAGUGACCUCGAGUAAAUUUCCGAAGAAAUUCUACGGAAAUUUACUCGUGAAUAGUUCGUUAUUUUUUUGAUUUAUUUAUUAGAUCAGGAUAGAGUCUUCUUGUUUAAACGCGAUAAUUAUAAUUAUUUGAAAUGUUGUAUAUUUAAAUGCAUUUUUAAAUAAUUUUCUCUUGCGAAAAUAGUAAAGAAUCGCGAUCUUCGCGAAUUUUAAUAAUGAAUAAGCAAGAAGACAUUCGCGAUGGAUAGUCUCUGGAUUACAAGCGAAAUUGUAUAAUUUCUUUUCUAAUAAUUAGAAUAAUCGCUUGUAAGAAGGAGUGUCCAAUGAUUUUUCAUUAGAUUUUUAUAUUAAGAUUAAUCAAUUUUAUUAAUAAAAGAAAAAUCUCAAUAGAAUCAUUGCUUUUGAAAGAAUAAAGUAGAGUAGAGUCAUUGAUAAAAGACAAAGAGACUUGUAGAAUCUCGUGUAGAACAUAGAAUAAGUUAAUCAAUUUUUAGAUUAGGAUUUUCAGCAAUUAAUAUAUUAAUUCUCGUUUUUCUUUCUACGCUUUCUUCAUUUUUCGUUUCAGGAUUGAUUUAGAGUUGCGUUAGAUUUAUUAGUUUCCUUCCACGUUUUAGAAUAAAAGAUGGUUUUAGUUUCUUGAUAUUGACGUUAGUUCGAAAGUUCGACAGAACCCUUCGAAAAUGGCUCUUAAUUAUAUUUUAAUUUUACUAUGUGGUCACUCAUAAUGCUCUUAUGUAAUAAUAAUUUUAAUUUUAGAAACUCGGACGAAGUAACGCUUCAUCUCCGAUGCCACAUUGUCACGCGUACGGGAAUGAAAUUAUUACAUAUUUUAUUCAUUUUUAUUAUUAAAGCAAAGUAAUAAAUUUUUCAUAUUUUUCUUUUUUAAAGUUCAAUUAAAAUCGUAAUUUUAUUAUAAUAAAAUCAAGUACUAUAUCGAAAUAAUAGCUGCGAAACGUAUAAGAUAUGACAAUUGUGGAAACCACUGAAAGUGCACAUGGAGAUGAAACGAACAUACCGAAAUGUGUAUCAAGUACUGUCUGCAUUUCGUUACUGGAAGAGAAUAUUCGUUUAGAGUAGAAUCGAAGAUUUUACAUUUUCAUUUUCUUUUAUAAAUUUAAAUUGAAUUAAAUUCAGAAUUUUAUUUUUCAUAAGUAAUAUACACACAUUAAUAUACAUAAUUACAUAAAUACGUCAUUACAACUUACAUACACUAGUUUCUUUCCUCAUUUCUUUUCUUCUCUAUGAAAUCAAGUUAUUGAAUUACUCUACAUUUUUAUUAUAUAUACUUCUAUUUAUUCAAACACAUAUCUGUAUAAUGAUUGAAACAAUUAUUCGAGAUUAAUUAUUUUAACUUCUCUCGGGUGGGACCCUUGGGAGGGGCCCUCGGGUGUGGGCCUUAGGCGGGUUUCGUUCUCUCGCUAGGAAUAAAAUUAGACUCAUUUAUGGUACUCUGAUUUUUGUCUAGUGAAAUGGUCUUCGAAAUACUUAUUCAUUAUUCCGAAUUCUAUCUUUCUCUCAGACUUGUUCCGUGUUUCUUUUCUUCGUUUUUCCUUUUCUUUUGGUUUCCUCUUCUCUUUCGUUUCUUUUUCCUUUUCUCUUAUUCUUUUACUUUUUUUCUAUUUCAAGUUAGAUCAUUGAAGGACCGAUUAUCAUGAAAU